rnacentral:misc_RNA from 1 species
GUAGGUGAACCUGCGGAAGGAUCAUUAAUGAAACUUCAAAGUCGGCCCUGUUGUUGCUGGUGGUCAAACACAUGUGCACACUCGGUCGCAAAUCCACACACACCUGUGCAUCUAUGACUCAAGGUUGUAACGACCAAGAGUACUUUUUAUACACUCUGAAUGUAACGGAAUGUCUUUUUGUGCUGUAAUAUGUACAACUAAAAAC